UUGCCGCGUUGGUGUCGGCCACAGCGACAUCGACAUACUCCAACCCAACACUAACCGCACAGCUCACGAGCACCUUUUCUUUAAUACCCGGAUAUCGCGACUCGAGCAGGUCGAAGAGUUUGGGGAGUGGGAGUGGCGCGGGGAAGGACUCUGUUUGCUUUCUCGUGUAGGAAGAGGCGGUUGAGAAGUAGUGGAUUUGGAAGGUUGGGGGGGACAUUGUUUGGUGGUGAUUUUUUUUUUUGUUUAUUUUGGGGGGGGUUGAGUUUGACUGUCUUGCUCGUCUGCUCUUCGUGCUCUGUGGAUUGAUAGGUGUAGACGAAGUAGUGUUAACUUGAGUAGCCACUUUUUAAGCAGGAGCAAGGCAAGUGGUGGAAGUUGUUAUAUUAUAUUCGCAUAUCGGGAUUCAACAACAUGCUUCUGGUAAGGAGCGCUCCUUGGAGAAGAACCAAGAACAGAUCCCAGAUCCCCUCCGAGCCGUCUUCUCCCCCUCCGGCUCCAAAUCUCUCACUCACAACCGAGUAAUCAAUCAAAACCCCUCCGAUCACAGUUCCAGUGUUUGCGCCUCGUCCUUCGUCGCCAGGCACUGGGAUUUGGUCGAACGGGAAAUUCGGGGAAUUAGCUCAGAGGUAGGCCCACGUAUCGGGAACC
rnacentral:sRNA from 1 species